rnacentral:rRNA from 1 species
GGGGGGGGGGGGGGGGGGGGGGGGGGGGGGGAGGGGGGGGGGGGGCGGCGGGGGGGGGGGGUGGUGGGGGGGGCGGGUGGGGGAGGGGGGCGGGGUACAUCGGAAUCUGCGUUUUCGUGGGGGGUGGCGUGGGGCCACGUACGCUAGUACCGGAUACGGCCUCCGGGUGGAAGAGGGGGGUCUUAGGACCUUGGGCGAUUGAAUGCGCCGAUGUCGGAUGAGCUGGUUGGCGGGGUAAAGGCCCACCAGGGCGACGACUCGUAGCUGGUCUGAGAGGAUGAUCAGCCACACUGGAACUGAGACACGGUCCAGACUCCUACGGGAGGCAGCAGUGGGGAAUAUUGGACAAUGGGCGCAAGCCUGAUCCAGCCAUACCGCGUGGGUGAAGAAGGCCUUCGGGUUGUAAAGCCCUUUUGUUGGGAAAGAAAAGCAGCAGGUUAAUACCCCGCUGUUCUGACGGUACCCAAAGAAUAAGCACCGGCUAACUUCGUG